rnacentral:rRNA from 1 species
GACGAACGCUGGCGGCGUGCUUAACACAUGCAAGUCGAACGGGAUUUAGUAGACAGAAGCCUCGGCUAAAGAUUACUAAUGAGAGUGGCGAACGGGUGAGUAACGCGUGAGCAACCUGCCUAUGACAGGGGGAUAGCCUCGGGAAACCGGGAUUAAUACCGCAUAAGAUCGUAGAAACACAUGUUUUAACGGUCAAAGAUUUAUCGGUCAUAGAUGGGCUCGCUUCUGAUUAGCUAGUUGGUGAGAUAACAGCCCACCAAGGCGACGAUCAGUAGCCGGUCUGAGAGGAUGAACGGCCACAUUGGAGCUGAGACACGGUCCAAACUCCGACGGGAGGCAGAAGUGGGGAAUAUUGCACAAUGGGGGAAACACUGAUGCAGCGACGCUGCGUGAACGAAGAAGGUAUUCGUAUCGUAAAGUUCUGGCCUAUGGGAAGAUAAUGACAGUACCAUAGAAGAAAGCACCGGCUAAAUACGUG